rnacentral:lncRNA from 1 species
UUCUUCUCCCUCAGUAGGAUCUUCAACUUCUCCAUCUGACCAGUCAAUUGGACCACCGUCUCCUCCUCUUUUGCCUUCUCUAACACCCCAAAAUUUUCCCUCCUCAUUCAUGCAUUAAUUUUUAGGUCAUUUAACAUUUCAUAUUGCAUUUCAUCAUGUCAAUCAGAAUCAGAUCCAAGAAACUUUAUUUUAAAAAAAAAAUACCAAAAAAAAACCAAAAAAAGAAAAACGAAAAACGAAAAAAAAAACAAAAAAAACAAAAUAAUAAUAAUAAUAAUUAAUUAAAUAAAUAAAUAAAUAAAAAAGAAAAAAAUCUCAAAGUUGGACCUCUCUCAAAAGCCCACUAAGCUACCAAUAUUAGCCUAUAAAUACU